AACGAACGCUGGCGGCAUGCCUAACACAUGCAAGUCGAACGAGACCUUCGGGUCUAGUGGCGUACGGGUGCGUAACGCGUGGGAACCUGCCCUUAGGUUCGGAAUAACUCCCCGAAAGGGGUGCUAAUACCGGAUAAUGUCUUCGGACCAAAGAUUUAUCGCCUUUGGAUGGGCCCGCGUUGGAUUAGCUAGUUGGUAGGGUAAAAGCCUACCAAGGCGACGAUCCAUAGCUGGUCUGAGAGGAUGAUCAGCCACACUGGGACUGAGACACGGCCCAGACUCCUACGGGAGGCAGCAGUGGGGAAUAUUGGACAAUGGGCGAAAGCCUGAUCCAGCAAUGCCGCGUGAGUGAUGAAGGCCUUAGGGUUGUAAAGCUCUUUUACCCGGGAUGAUAAUGACAGUACCGGGAGAAUAAGCUCCGGCUAACUCCGU
rnacentral:rRNA from 1 species